AUUGAACGCUGGCGGAAUGCUUUACACAUGCAAGUCGAACGGCAGCACGGGAGCUUGCUCCUGGUGGCGAGUGGCGAACGGGUGAGUAAUAUAUCGGAACGUAUCCAAUAAUGGGGGAUAACUAAUCGAAAGGUUGGCUAAUACCGCAUACGCCCUGAGGGGGAAAGCUGGGGAUCGUAAGACCUAGCGUUAAUGGAGCGGCCGAUAUCGGAUUAGCUAGUUGGUGGGGUAAAGGCCUACCAAGGCGACGAUCCGUAGCUGGUCUGAGAGGACGACCAGCCACACUGGAAAUGAGACACGGUCCAGACUCCUACGGGAGGCAGCAGUGGGGAAUUUUGGACAAUGGGCGCAAGCCUGAUCCAGCCAUUCCGCGUGAGUGAAGAAGGCCUUCGGGUUGUAAAGCUCUUUCGCAAGGGAAGAAACGUUACGAGCGAAUAACUCGUGAUAAUGACGGUACCUUGAUAAGAAGCACCGGCUAACUACGUGCCAGCAGCCGCAGUAACAC
rnacentral:rRNA from 1 species